rnacentral:tRNA from 2 species
GUGUUAGUAGCUCAGUUGGAUAGAGCAACGGCCUUCUAAGCCGUGGGUCGGGGGUUCGAAUCCCUCCUAGCACA